rnacentral:rRNA from 1 species
GAUGAACGCUGGCGGCGUGCCUAAUACAUGCAAGUCGAGCGAACAGACGAGGAGCUUGCUCCUCUGACGUUAGCGGCGGACGGGUGAGUAACACGUGGAUAACCUACCUAUAAGACUGGGAUAACUUCGGGAAACCGGAGCUAAUACCGGAUAAUAUAUUGAACCGCAUGGUUCAAUAGUGAAAGACGGUUUUGCUGUCACUUAUAGAUGGAUCCGCGCCGCAUUAGCUAGUUGGUAAGGUAACGGCUUACCAAGGCAACGUUGCGUAGCCGACCUGAGAGGGUGAUCGGCCCCACUGGAACUGAGCCACGGUCCAGACUCCUACGGGAGGCAGCAGUAGGGAAUCUUCCGCAAUGGGCGAAAGCCUGACGGAGCAACGCCGCGUGAGUGAUGAAGGUCUUCGGAUCGUAAAACUCUGUUAUUAGGGAAGAACAAAUGUGUAAGUAACUAUGCACGUCUUGACGGUACCUAAUCAGAAAGCCACGGCUAACUACGUG